UUCGUGUACUCUAUAUAAAGACUUCCCUUGGUUGAGUAUCAUCACUUUCUACCUCUUUUAGUUUGGUGGAAUUGAUUUCUGCUCAGCUAAACUUCUUAAAAAUUUUGCUUUGUCCUAAACUUUUAAGGACAUAAAAGAGCCAAACAGGAGACCAGUGGGUGCUAACUUCAGGAUGCCUUUUAUUGAAAGACUGUUUUGGGAGGGACUUGUAGGUGGAAUGAUAACUCUCAUCAUACAUGCUGUUUUGAUCCUGGCCAGGCCUGGUAACACACAUAGGAACUCAAACCCUUGGAGCAGCCAAACAGGCAGAGCCGGCCAAGCACCCAACCAGGGACAUGGGAGACCCUGAGCAAGUGUCAUGUGGCCGCAGGGCGGCUACCCCUCAGACAGAGGCUGUAGACUUUCCCCUCCGCCCUGCGGAAUCUCCGGAUGCCACAGGGAACACUAUGCAACCAAGCAUCAGUUGAGACUACAGCCUGCUCCUAAAGACUACGAGGUCUGGACUUCCUGCGGAUGUGAACACUCCCCUGUAUCUUCAACAGAAUCUGCGAACCAACUGCUUCUAAUAAAAUACUCCAUUGCCUAAA